UACGUAGGGUGCGAGCGUUGUCCGGAAUUAUUGGGCGUAAAGGGCUCGUAGGCGGUUUGUCACGUCGGGAGUGAAAACUCGGGGCUUAACCCCGAGCCUGCUUCCGAUACGGGCUGACUAGAGGUAUGCAGGGGAGAACGGAACUCCUGGUGUAGCGGUGAAAUGCGCAGAUAUCAGGAGGAACACCGGUGGCGAAGGCGGUUCUCUGGGCAUUACCUGACGCUGAGGAGCGAAAGCGUGGGGAGCGAACAGG
rnacentral:rRNA from 1 species